AUUGAACGCUGGCGGCAGGCCUAACACAUGCAAGUCGAGCGGAUGAAGGGAGCUUGCUCCUGGAUUCAGCGGCGGACGGGUGAGUAAUGCCUAGGAAUCUGCCUGGUAGUGGGGGAUAACGUCCGGAAACGGGCGCUAAUACCGCAUACGUCCUGAGGGAGAAAGUGGGGGAUCUUCGGACCUCACGCUAUCAGAUGAGCCUAGGUCGGAUUAGCUAGUUGGUGGGGUAAAGGCCUACCAAGGCGACGAUCCGUAACUGGUCUGAGAGGAUGAUCAGUCACACUGGAACUGAGACACGGUCCAGACUCCUACGGGAGGCAGCAGUGGGGAAUAUUGGACAAUGGGCGAAAGCCUGAUCCAGCCAUGCCGCGUGUGUGCAGAAGGUCUUCGGAUUGUAAAGCACUUUAAGUUGGGAGGAAGGGAAGUAAGUUAAUACCUUGCUGUUUUGACGUUACCAACAGAAUAAGCACCGGCUAACUUCGUG
rnacentral:rRNA from 1 species